rnacentral:tRNA from 2 species
GGGGAUAUGGCGGAAUUGGUAGACGCUACGGACUUGAUCGAAUUGAGCCUUGGUAUGGAAACCUACCAAGUGAUAGCUUCCAAAUAAAAUCCGUUGGCUUUAUAGACCGUGAGGGUUCAAGUCCCUCUAUCCCCA